rnacentral:misc_RNA from 1 species
AAGUCGUAACAAGGUCUCCGUUGGUGAACCAGCGGAGGGAUCAUUACCGAGUUUACAACUCCCAAACCCCUGUGAACAUACCUAUCGUUGCUUCGGCGGGAUCGCCCCGGCGCCAUCGCGGCCCGGACCCAGGCGCCCGCCGGAGGACCCAAACCCUUGAAUUUAUGAAGUAUCUUCUGAGUAAACAAGCAAAUAAAUUAAAACUUUCAACAACGGAUCUCUUGGUUCUG